ACUUGGCUGGCUCAGUUGGUAGAGUGUGUGACUCUUGAUCUUGGUGUUGUGAGUUUGAGCCCCACGUUGGGUG
rfam:Ailuropoda melanoleuca scaffold689_142, whole genome shotgun sequence.